rnacentral:tRNA from 1 species
UCCAGUGUGGCUCAGUGGAUAAGGAGACGGACUGGCACUCCUCAGGUCGUGAGUUCAAGCCUGACCUUACCCAGGUUGAG